GUCAACUACCCCGGCAUAAAUGCCGGAGCUUGGAGGUGAAAACCAAAAGGCUCGGUUGACCAGGGAAAGCGGUAUCCAACCCGCUACGUUUGCAACAGGUCGUUACGACCCACUCCGGGAUGCUUCCUCAGUCCCGGACACUGGAAGGUGAGAAUAAUGCGGGCGAAAGGCAAAGCGCCGAAUGUUUUCACCGCACCCGAGAGGGUGGAGCCGGUUGCUGACAUUCCCGAGGGGAGAUGGGU
rfam:Acidiferrobacter thiooxydans strain ZJ Contig_40, whole genome shotgun sequence.